CGUUAAUCGGAAUUACGUGGGACGUAAAGCGCAUGCAGGUGGUUUAGUUAAGUCAGAUGUAGAAAACGGCCCGGGGCUACAACCGUACGGUAAUUGCUAUUUAGAAACGUGGACAAACUAGAGUACUGUAGAGGGGGUAGAAUUUCAGGUGUAGCGGUGAAAUGCGUAGAGAUCUGAAGGAAUACCGGUGGCGAAGGCGGCCCCCUGGACAGAUACUGACACUCAGAUGCGAAAGCGUGGGGAGCAAACAGGAUUAGAUACCCUGGUAG
rnacentral:rRNA from 1 species